AACGAACGCUGGCGGCAUGCCUAACACAUGCAAGUCGUACGCCUAACUUCGGUUAGGAGUGGCGCACGGGUGCGUAACACGUGGGGACCUGCCUUUCAGUACGGGACAACUUCGGGAAACUGGAGCUAAUACCGUAUACGCUAAUCAUCAUGGUGGUGAUUAGAAAAGAUUUAUCGCUGAAAGAUGGACCCGCGCUAGAUUAGCUUGUUGGUGAGGUAAUGGCUCACCAAGGCUCCGAUCUAUAGCUGGUUUGAGAGGAUGAUCAGCCACACUGGGACUGAGACACGGCCCAGACUCCUACGGGAGGCAGCAGUGGGGAAUAUUGGACAAUGGGCGAAAGCCUGAUCCAGCAAUGCCGCGUGAGUGAAGAAGGCCUUCGGGUUGUAAAACUCUUUCACAAGUGAAGAUAAUGACGGUAACUUGAGAAGAAGCCCCGGCUAACUUCG
rnacentral:rRNA from 1 species